CACAAACCCCACCAUGGGGUCUUCCAGCUAAAAAUCAAAGGGCAUCAACUGUACAGAACACAUAGGGCAACCAGGCUAUUAGAGAAGCAUCCCAGUGGAAAAUUCGCAUUGUCCAAGCCAGCCACUUUUCGAGUCUCCGUGGUAGCUGCAGCAUUUGGUGUCCAAGUGUUUUAAUUGGACAACUAGUACACCAACUAAUUCCAUGUUGAGCCCUGACAGAGACAUAAGAGAGCCAGAGGCCCAACGCUGACACAGAACUGUGCGAUGCAAACAGGAGGUGGGACAGAUACUGGUAGGAGUUAACGGUGUGCAGAAUUUUGUAAGCAGCAAAGCAACUUCGACUUAAGUUGAUUGGUUGAAGGUCAAAAGUUUGGGGAAACUAUUCUUCGAAGCAGCUCAUUCCCUCAGGGCCCAAACUUUGUUCGGGACAUACCUCAAUGUUUCAGAUCCGCCAGACCCACUGAGUUUCCCCAGCACUUUGUUUUUAGAGUAAUCUACUUAGUUGUCUGAAACCAUGACUGAGAAAGUUCCGAACUACCUUCUCAACGUAAUUAAGGAUGGGCGAUAAAUCCAAGGAAAGAAGAUUAAUGACCGUCUGAUAGUGGUGAUGUAAAGCACUGUCCUGUGUGUGACGUCAUGGUGAAAUAACUGGCCUGUCAGUAACCAUCCUUUCAUUUAUGAGGAAAGUUUCCAACAGCAUGGCUUAUGGAAAUAGCUCUGGAUAAAUGUAUCUUCGGAAAAGCUGACGUGAAUCGUUUCCAGGACUUGUCAAGUUGGCAUGCAUGAAUACUAUGUGACACCAGAAAUGGAGAGCCAGUUGCUCGGCUUGUAAUGGAAUAGAAGUGCACGUGACAUCACAGGGAGGUGUAGUUAAAUAAUUACAAUACAUAAAGAUUCAAU